AGAGACUUAGGCUAAUAAUAAGACCAGGGGCCUUCAAAGCCCCCAGUGAGGGUGAGAGUCCCCCAGUCCCUG
rnacentral:tRNA from 2 species